rnacentral:antisense_RNA from 1 species
GACCUGACAAGGAUUGAUAUAUAAAACUUCAAUUUGUCCUAAAGGUGAAAAAAAGGUGCGUAAAUCCCUUGUCAUUUGUCGACGCUGCCUGUCUUGGCAAUAAUCUUUGAUAACUAUUCCUAGGCCAAUAGCUAAACUAAAUCCAAAGAUACCUGAAAUCAUACCUAUUUUCUUUUUACUCAUAUCCCUCAUUUUAUCAUAAAAAGAUCAAAUUGGACGAUCUGAAAUAAGAAAACUAAAGAUUUC